CACGGGGGGAGCAAGCGUUGUUCGGAAUCACUGGGCGUAAAGGGCGUGUAGGCGGUCUGAUAAGUGGAAUGUGAAAUCCCCCGGCUUACCCGGGGACCUGCAUCCCAUACUGUCAGGCUUGAGUACGGGAGAGGAUGAGGGAAUUCCUGGUGUAGCGGUGAAAUGCGUAGAUAUCAGGAGGAACACCGGUGGCGAAAGCGCUCAUCUGGCCCGAUACUGACGCUGAUGCGCGAAAGCUAGGGGAGCAAACGGG
rnacentral:rRNA from 1 species